AUGGCCUGGUGCUUUCUCCUUCUCACCCUCCUCACUCACUGCACAGGUUCCUGGGCUCAGUCUGGGCUGACUCAGCCAUUCUUGGUGUCAGGGUCCCUGGGCCAGAAGGUCACCAUAUCCUGCACUGGGAGAAGCUCCAACAUUGGUGGUAAUUCUGUGAGCUGGUACCAACAAGUCCCAGGAACAGCCCUCAAAACCAUCAUCUAUGGUACGAGCAGCCGACCAUCAGGGGUCCCUGAUCGAUUCUCUGGCUCCAAGUCUGGCACUUCAGCCUCCCUUACCAUCAAGGGCUACAGGCUGAGGAUGAGGCUGAUUAUUAUUGUGUAACAUGGGACAAUAGUCUUUG